GUGUGCAAGUUGAAGACACCUUUUGAAGGCUUUAAAUCUAUGAACGUAUAAACAGAUAAAGGAGCAACAUAAACAAUUCCUCCUUGAGAGCUAUCUUCAAGAGGCUGGGGUUGAAGAGUUAAGGUUUCCUUCACACCACCCAGAGCUUAACCCGAUUGAGAAAAUAUGGGCCAAUAUAAAAAACUGGGUGGCGGAGCGUAAUGUACUUUUAGACUUAGUGGCGUGGAAGCUUUGGCUCGCCAAAGGUUUGGGGAAAUAGGUGCCGAAGAAUGGGCAGCCAUUUGCCAACACGUCACUAAAGUUGAAGAUGAGUACAUUGUGCGAGAGCCAAUGAUCAUUAUCUAGAAGAGUUUGAGUUCGUCGUAAAUGCCGGAUCUUCUGACGAAGAAGUUUUCGAUGUCUCAAGUUCGGAAGAUGACAAAGACCCUUAUAAACUCUCAGCGCCAACAGACCCCAGCCCUCAACUUCAUUUCAAGAUUUGGGAGUUGCUCCUCUGGAAUAAUUUACCAUCCGCCGUGAAAUGGGAAAGGUUAAAGGUAUAGAUCCAACAAAAUGAACGAAAGGAAAUAUGAUAAAAGCCAUAGAAGACGUGACAAGCAAGAAAAUGGAAGUAAAUAAGCGAGCCAUUACGAACUUUACGUAGACACAUCCAUAUGGGCUGGAAAAGCAAGCAGAACAUUGGUAGACCAUGCGAAUUAGGAUAUGAAAAUGAGUUGAGACUUGUGGUUCACAUUAAGAAGCUCGAAUCUAUCGGAUUUCCUCUGGACCAAUCGAGACUGCAGUCCAUUGCUUACGACUUUGCAGAAAAACUGGGAUUGCGUCAACGAUUUCAAUAAGUAGAGAAGGCAAGCAAGCUAGGAUUGGUUUCAAGGGUAUAUGAAGAGGCACCCAGGCACCCAAGAUAUCGAUAAAUAUUUUGAAAUGCUGUUGAAAGUGUUACUACAAUGUACUUAUUUUUGGAUUUCGGCGCCAUCGGCAUGAACCUGUGGCGCAUGCUUGAUAGAAAAAGUGGUGUUCGACAAGAACGAAAAAGACACCAACGUGUUUUAUCAGGGCUAUGAAAGUAAAGCGACGUUAUUGGUCGAUUAAAAAUAAAGCUCUCAGCCACCGCAAGGGAGCGCAUCGGUAGAAAUUAAUAGGCAGCACACAUUGCACUGUUGUGUUACUGUGUUACCAAGACAGGCUUUGACUGUGGGCUCUGGUGUCAAAGUCUGUGAUACCGACACUGUGAUGUCAAACAAAACUAUCAAAUGGUCGAACGCCAUUUUUAACGGUUUUGUUUGUGUUUUUUUUACCUUGUUAUUCAACAAAAUUCACACAGCAGUGCAUUUACUUUGGUUUUAGUUUUUACAACUAAUAAAGUACUGUUUGAAUUCGUGAGAGAAAAUUGAACGUGGCCAUGGGACUUUUACAUUGUUAUUUGUUCGGUACAAGGGUGUACCAACAAUAAAAGGCCCAUAUUUGGUUUCCCGCAUCCCAUCAGUAGAUACAAGCCGUCAAGAACCCUGGAUAAUGUAGUUUGGAUUGCCAGUUGGCUAUCCAAGGUGCCGGAGGACAACAGCAGCAAUUUGUUGCAAAAUGGGUGAUUAAUUUUGCUAAGAGAACUGGAUUUUCAACCUUUUGCUUAACGUGUGGACAGAUUCAACAUUUGAAAAAUAAAUGUUCCACCAGAUGCAACGACACAGAUCGUAUUUCUUAACCGUACAACAGUAAGCCUCAGUCAGUUAUAACAACAUAACAAUCCUCCAAUAAGUCGAGGCUUUCACGUCGGUGUUUCAAUUAAACUAAACAGCGUCGAAUGACCGAAGACCGCUUUGCAAGAGCUAAAACCG